GGUCAUGAGUGCCAGCGUCAAGCCCCGGCUUGCUGGCCGGCAACCCUCCAUCCGCGGUGGGGUGCCCCGGGAGACGACCAGGUUGAGCAGCCGCAUACCGGCUGCGAGGCAAGCGCGGGUC
rnacentral:ncRNA from 2 species